rnacentral:tRNA from 1 species
AACAAGGUAAGCUAAGUAAGCUUUUGGGUUCAUACUCCAAAAAUAGGAGAUAAGAUUCUCCUCUUUGUUU